rnacentral:tRNA from 1 species
GUCUGAAUGAGGCUCAUGAGGAAGGACGGCUGUCUACUGUACAGCUUCCUUCUCCGUUCCGAUACCGGGAUCAGGCGC